rnacentral:rRNA from 1 species
UGCGUAGGGGGCAAGCGUUGUCCGGAUUUAUUGGGCGUAAAGAGCGUGUAGGCGGCCAGGUAGGUCUGCUGUGAAAACUCGAGGCUUAACCUCGAGAUGUCGGCGGAAACCAUCUGGCUAGAGUCCGGAAGAGGAGAGUGGAAUUCCUGGUGUAGCGGUGAAAUGCGCAGAUAUCAGGAAGAACACCCGUGGCGAAGGCGGCUCUCUGGGACGGUACUGACGCUGAGACGCGAAAGCGUGGGGAGCGAACAGG